rnacentral:rRNA from 1 species
AGUGAACGCUGGCGGUAGGCCUAACACAUGCAAGUCGAACGGAAGCACAGUAAGAGCUUGCUCUUACCGGUGGCGAGUGGCGGGCGGGUGAGGAAUACAUCGGCAUCUACUUUUUCUUGGGGGAUAACGUAGGGCCACUUACGCUACUACCGCAUACGACCUACGGGUGAAAGCAGGAGAUCUUCGGACCUUGCGCGAUUGAAUGAGCCGAUGUCGGAUUAGCUAGUUGGCGGGGUAAAGGCACACCAAGGCGACGAUCCGUAGCUGGUCUGAGAGGAUGAUCAGCCACACUGGAACUGAGACACGGUCCAGACUCCUACGGGAGGCAGCAGUAGGGAAUAUUGGACAAUGGGCGCAAGCCUGAUCCAGCCAUACCGCGUGGGUGAAGAAGGCCUUCGGGUUGUAAAGCCCUUUUGUUGGGAAAGAAAAGCAGCAGGUUAAUACCCCGCUGUUCUGACGGUACCCAAAGAAUAAGCAACGGCUAACUUCGUG